GGAGGCAGCAGUGAGGAAUAUUGGUCAAUGGACGAGAGUCUGAACCAGCCAAGUCGCGUGAGGGAAGACUGCCCUAUGGGUUGUAAACCUCUUUUAUAAGGGAAGAAUAAGUUCUACGUGUAGAAUGAUGCCUGUACCUUAUGAAUAAGCAUCGGCUAACUCCGUGCCAGCAGCCGCGGUAAUACGGAGGAUGCGAGCGUUAUCCGGAUUUAUUGGGUUUAAAGGGUGCGUAGGCGGUUUAUUAAGUUAGUGGUUAAAUAUUUGAGCUAAACUCAAUUGUGCCAUUAAUACUGGUAAACUGGAGUACAGACGAGGUAGGCGGAAUAAGUUAAGUAGCGGUGAAAUGCAUAGAUAUAACUUAGAACUCCGAUAGCGAAGGCAGCUUACCAGACUGUAACUGACGCUGAUGCACGAGAGCGUGGGUAGCGAACAGGAUUAGAUACCCUGGUAGUCCACGCCGUAAACGAUGCUCACUGGUUCUGUGCGAUAUAUUGUACGGGAUUAAGCGAAAGUAUUAAGUGAGCCACCUGGGGAGUACGUCGGCAACGAUGAAACUCAAAGGAAUUGACGGGGGCCCGCACAAGCGGAGGAACAUGUGGUUUAAUUCGAUGAUACGCGAGGAACCUUACCCGGGCUUGAAAGUUAGCGACGAUUCUUGAAAGAGGAUUUCCCUUCGGGGCGCGAAACUAGGUGCUGCAUGGUUGUCGUCAGCUCGUGCCGUGAGGUGUCGGGUUAAGUCCCAUAACGAGCGCAACCCCUAUCGCCAGUUGCCAUCGGUUGAAGCCGGGCACUCUGUCGAGACUGCCACCGUAAGGUGCGAGGAAGGCGGGGAUGACGUCAAAUCAGCACGGCCCUUACACCCAGGGCUACACACGUGUUACAAUGGCCGGUACAGAGGGCCGCUACCAGGUGACUGGAUGCCAAUCUCAAAAGCCGGUCGUAGUUCGGAUUGGAGUCUGUAACCCGACUCCAUGAAGUUGGAUUCGCUAGUAAUCGCGCAUCAGCCAUGGCGCGGUGAAUACGUUCCCGGGCCUUGUACACACCGCCCGUCAAGCCAUGGGAGCCGGGGGUACCUGAAGUGCGUAACCGCGAGGAGCGCCCUAGGGUAAAACUGGUGACUGGGGCUAAGUCGUAACAAGGUAGCCGUACCGGAAGGUGCGGCUG
rnacentral:rRNA from 1 species